rnacentral:rRNA from 1 species
UACGAAGGGGGCUAGCGUUGCUCGGAAUCACUGGGCGUAAAGCGCACGUAGGCGGUUUCUUAAGUCAGGGGUGAAAUCCUGGAGCUCAACUCCAGAACUGCCUUUGAUACUGGGAGACUUGAGUCCGGGAGAGGUGAGUGGAACUGCGAGUGUAGAGGUGAAAUUCGUAGAUAUUCGGAAGAACACCAGUGGCGAAGGCGGCUCACUGGACUGGUAUUGACGCUGAGGUGCGAAAGCGUGGGGAGCAAACAGG